rnacentral:rRNA from 1 species
AUUGCCCCAGUAACGGCGAGUGAAGCGGCAACAGCUCAAAUUUGAAAUCUGGCCCCUAGGGCCCGAGUUGUAAUUUGCAGAGGAUGCUUUUGGCGAGGUGCCUUCCGAGUUCCCUGGAACGGGACGCCAUAGAGGGUGAGAGCCCCGUCUGGUUGGAUGCCGAGCCUCUGUAAAGCUCCUUCGACGAGUCGAGUAGUUUGGGAAUGCUGCUCUAAAUGGGAGGUAUAUGUCUUCUAAAGCUAAAUACCGGCCAGAGACCGAUAGCGCACAAGUAGAGUGAUCGAAAGAUGAAAAGCACUUUGAAAAGAGGGUUAAAUAGUACGUGAAAUUGUUGAAAGGGAAGCGCUUAUGACCAGACUUGGACCCGGUGAAUCAUCCAGCGUUCUCGCUGGUGCACUUUGCCGGGCUCAGGCCAGCAUCAGUUUGCCUCGGGGGAUAAAGGCUUUGGGAAUGUGGCUCCCUCGGGAGUGUUAUAGCCCAUUGCACAAUACCCUGGGGCGGACUGAGGUUCGCGCAUCUGCAAGGAUGCUGGCGUAAUGGUCAUCAGCGACCCGUCUUGAAACACGGACCAAGGAGUCGUCUUCGUAUGCGAGUGUUCGGGUGUAAAACCCCUACGCGUAAUGAAAGUGAACGCAGGUGAGAGCUUCGGCGCAUCAUCGACCGAUCCUGAUGUUCUCGGAUGGAUUUGAGUAAGAGCAUACGGGGCCGGACCCGAAAGAAGGUGAACUAUGCCUGUAUAGGGUGAAGCCAGAGGAAACUCUGGUGGAGGCUCGCAGCGGUUCUGACGUGCAAAUCGAUCGUCAAAUAUGGGCAUGGGGGCGAAAGACUAAUCGAACC